rfam:Schistosoma margrebowiei strain Zambia genome assembly, scaffold: SMRZ_contig0005659
AUCCAGACAACGAGUCCCAAAUAGGACGAAACGCGCGUCCUGGAU